rnacentral:rRNA from 1 species
CCUACGGGCGGCUGCAGUGGGGAAUAUUGCACAAUGGGCGCAAGCCUGAUGCAGCCAUGCCGCGUGUGUGAAGAAGGCCUUCGGGUUGUAAAGCACUUUCAGCGGGGAGGAAGGCGUUAAGGUUAAUAACCUUGGCGAUUGACGUUACCCGCAGAAGAAGCACCGGCUAACUCCGUGCCAGCAGCCGCGGUAAUACGGAGGGUGCAAGCGUUAAUCGGAAUUACUGGGCGUAAAGCGCACGCAGGCGGUCUGUCAAGUCGGAUGUGAAAUCCCCGGGCUCAACCUGGGAACUGCAUUCGAAACUGGCAGGCUAGAGUCUUGUAGAGGGGGGUAGAAUUCCAGGUGUAGCGGUGAAAUGCGUAGAGAUCUGGAGGAAUACCGGUGGCGAAGGCGGCCCCCUGGACAAAGACUAACGCUCAGGUGCGAAAGCGUGGGGAGCAAACAGGAUUAGAUACCCCGGUAGUC